rnacentral:rRNA from 1 species
GACGAACGCUGGCGGCGUGCUUAACACAUGCAAGUCGAACGGAAAGGCCCUGCUUUUGUGGGGUGCUCGAGUGGCGAACGGGUGAGUAACACGUGAGUAACCUGCCCUUGACUUUGGGAUAACUUCAGGAAACUGGGGCUAAUACCGGAUAGGAGCUCCUGCUGCAUGGUGGGGGUUGGAAAGUUUCGGCGGUUGGGGAUGGACUCGCGGCUUAUCAGCUUGUUGGUGGGGUAGUGGCUUACCAAGGCUUUGACGGGUAGCCGGCCUGAGAGGGUGACCGGCCACAUUGGGACUGAGAUACGGCCCAGACUCCUACGGGAGGCAGCAGUGGGGAAUCUUGCACAAUGGGCGGAAGCCUGAUGCAGAAACGCCGCGUGCGGGAUGACGGCCUUCGGGUUGUAAACCGCUUUCGCCUGUGACGAAGCGUGAGUGACGGUAAUGGGUAAAGAAGCACCGGCUAACUACGUG